AGUAUGUCACGGAGUGACUUUGUAAGGGCGGAACUAAAAAAUGACGGAGAUUGGUUCCGCCCGGACCAUAAUUCUCAAACACCGGGAACUCCGGGAAGGGAAAUUAGGGUUUUAUUGAUCGCAGGUGGAUAGAUGAACGGGGCGAUCGUGGAUUGGGCAGUAUGAAGAGAAGGAGGAGUAUAAAGAGGGCCUCAGAAACUGCAGAGGAGGAGGGGAGUUCUUUGUUUUAUGUGAGCUGAUACGGCGACCCGGACCCUGCGUGAGUUGGAGGGUUCGGGGGAGUACAGUGGAAAGAAGGCAGAGGAUAUUGUUGGCUGGGCAAAGACGGAGACAAGGGUUUGGCAGAAACAGAAACCGGGCUGAGUAUAUUGGGAUGUCUACUUAACUGUGAAAUGCUCCAUGGAUAUGUGUAACAAAUUCGGAGUGGUUGAAAACAGGAAGACUCACCGGAAGUAUCGCCGAAGGAGGCCUUUUCGACAGGGCACGUGGCAGCAGGAGAAGUAUCCAGGAGCUGGAAAGAAGAGGGAAAAGAGACCUCGUGUUAGUAACGGUGUGAGUACCCUAAACCAUCGUACAGCAGUAUAAUCAUCUAGAGUGAACCAUCUGUGAGUGUUUUGUGAGUUGUGGCAUAGUAUGUGAGCGGCCCCACUGGGGAGGAGGAUUGUGGGUGAGCCGGGACCAGUGAGCGAGAGAGGAUGUUGGGUUGUUGUGGCGGCAACGUUUAAAUCUGAAUAUUCGUGGCAUCAGUGUCUUCACGACUUCCAGGACGAGUCUUUGGUCAGACGGGGUUUUGACCCUAAAUUCACCAAGAGUGUGUGGAGUGCAGUGGGCCCGACGAAAUCCUGUGAAGGAAGCGAGUACCGAGGCGGGCGAAGAAAACAUCUCCAAUUAUAUGCCGUCAAAUGACAUCCUGACCCUUCUUCCCCACGUGACGGUGGUGGGAAACCAUUUCAAAUCUAGCGGGUCCCUUUGAAGCGUCUACCUGCAUGUCGACUCGUCACUCAGGAUACAGAGACCGUGGAAACCCCCUCCCGUACACUUACCAGUACGGUUUUAGUUGGAUCCCGGCAGCCCUUGGGCAGUUCCCCCAGCAUCUGGACGACCGGGAGUAUAAUCCGCUGGGUCGCCUUGGAGUUCGUCAAAAGUAGCAGCAGGUAUCCAUUGUGCAUCCAAACUCUCAAUACUUACCACUUGUAUCUGUUACGUCCAGGAAAGGAGAGGGCCCUGGACAGUCGUCCUGCAAGCCAGAACAAAGGGGCACUUGUGAAUAAGCUGAAUGUCGUUACAUAGCCAGAAGGAAAGAGGAGUGAAGGACUCACCUGAGAUCUCC
ensembl:lncRNA